GGUUAAGUUAACAAGGGCGCAUGGUGAAUGCCUUGGCACUAGGAGCCGAUGAAGGACGGGACUAACACCGAUAUGCUUCGGGGAGCUGUACGUAAGCUAUGAUCCGGAGAUUUCCGAAUGGGGCAACCCAGCAGUUUUAAUCAACUGUUACCACUAGAUGAAUUCAUAGUCUAGUUGGAGGUAAACGCUGUGAACUGAAACAUCUCAUUAGCAGCAGGAAUAUAAAGAAAUUUCGAUUCCCUAAGUAGCGGCGAGCGAACGGGGAACAGCCCAAACCAAAGUGCUUGCACUUUGGGGUUGUAGGACUGAACAUUUGAGUUACCAAAGAACUUGAUAGUCGAAGGAUUUGGGAAAAUCCGCCAUAGAUGGUGAUAGCCCAGUAGAUUAAAUCAAAUUCUCUCAGUUCAGGAUCCUGAGUACGGCGGAACACGUGAAAUUCCGUCGGAAUCCGGGAGGACCAUCUCCCAAGGCUAAAUACUACCUAGUGACCGAUAGUGAACCAGUACCGUGAGGGAAAGGUGAAAAGCACCCCGGGAGGGGAGUGAAAUAGUUCCUGAAACCAUGUGCCUACAAUAAGUCAGAGCGCGUUAAUGCGUGAUGGCGUGCCUUUUGUAGAAUGAACCGGCGAGUUAUGAUCCCGUGCAAGGUUAAGACUAAAAAGUCGGAGCCGUAGCGAAAGCGAGUCUGAAAUGGGCGAUUUGAGUACGAGGUUAUAGACCCGAAACCAGGUGACCUAUCCAUGUCCAGGUUGAAGGUGCGGUAAAACGCACUGGAGGACCGAACCCGUGUAAGUUGAAAAUUGCUGGGAUGAGGUGUGGAUAGCGGUGAAAUUCCAAACGAACUUGGAGAUAGCUGGUUCUCUCCGAAAUAGCUUUAGGGCUAGCCUCGGAUUAAGGAUCAUGGAGGUAGAGCACUAUUUGGACUAGGGGCCCGUCUUGGGUUACUGAAUUCAGAUAAACUCCGAAUGCCAUUGAUUCAUGUCCGGGAGUCAGACGAUGAGUGAUAAGAUCCACCGUCGAAAGGGGAACAGCCCAGACCAUCAGUUAAGGUCCCUAAAUGUAUGCUAAGUGGAAAAGGAUGUGGAGUUGCAUAGACAACUAGGAUGUUGGCUCAGAAGCAGCCACCAUUUAAAGAGUGCGUAAUAGCUCACUAGUCGAGUGAUCCUGCGCCGAAAAUGUACCGGGGCUAAGCAUACUACCGAAACCAUGGAUGCGACCAUUAGGUCGCGUGAUAGGAGAGCGUUCUAAGGGCGGUGAAGCAAGAUCGUGAGGACUUGUGGAGCGCUUAGAAGUGAGAAUGCCGGUAUGAGUAGCGAAAGAUAGGUGAGAAUCCUAUCCACCGAAUGACUAAGGUUUCCUGGGGAAGGCUCGUCCUCCCAGGGUUAGUCGGGACCUAAGUCGAGGCCGAGAGGCGUAGACGAUGGAUAACAGGUUGAGAUUCCUGUACUAGUUAAGUGCGUUUGAGCAAUGGAGGGACGCAGGAGGCUAAGAUGUGCAUUCUGUUGGAUUAGAAUGUCCAAGCAGUAAGUCUUGUGGAGAGUCAAAUGCUUUUCACUUUAAGGACAAGCUGUGAUGGGGAGCGAAAUUUAGUAGCGAAGCGUCUGAUGUCACACUGCCGAGAAAAGCUUCUAGUGAGUACUUAACUACCCGUACCGCAAACCGACACAGGUAGUCGAGGAGAGAAUCCUAAGGUGGGCGAGUGAACUCUCGUUAAGGAACUCGGCAAAAUGACCCCGUAACUUCGGGAGAAGGGGUGCUGAUCGCAAGAUCAGCCGCAGUGAAUAGGCCCAGGCGACUGUUUAUCAAAAACACAGGUCUCUGCAAAAUCGUAAGAUGACGUAUAGGGGCUGACGCCUGCCCGGUGCUGGAAGGUUAAAAGGAUGGGUUAGCUUCGGCGAAGCUCAGAAUUGAAGCCCCAGUAAACGGCGGCCGUAACUAUAACGGUCCUAAGGUAGCGAAAUUCCUUGUCGGGUAAGUUCCGACCCGCACGAAAGGCGUAACGAUCUGGGCACUGUCUCAACGAGAGACUCGGUGAAAUUAUAUUGUCCGUGAAGAUGCGGACUACCCGCGACAGGACGGAAAGACCCCAUGGAGCUUUACUGUAGCUUGAUAUUGAGUGUUUGUACAGCUUGUACAGGAUAGGUAAGGAGCCAUAGAAACCGGAACGCUAGUUUCGGUGGAGGCGUUGGUGGGAUACUACCCUCGCUGUAUGACCACUCUAACCCGCACCACUAAUCGUGGUGGGAGACAGUGUCAGGUGGGCAGUUUGACUGGGGCGGUCGCCUCCUAAAAAGUAACGGAGGCGCCCAAAGGUUCCCUCAGAAUGGUUGGAAAUCAUUCGCAGAGUGUAAAGGCACAAGGGAGCUUGACUGCGAGACAGACAGGUCGAGCAGGGACGAAAGUCGGGCUUAGUGAUCCGGUGGUACCGUAUGGAAGGGCCAUCGCUCAACGGAUAAAAGCUACCCUGGGGAUAACAGGCUUAUCUCCCCCAAGAGUCCACAUCGACGGGGAGGUUUGGCACCUCGAUGUCGGCUCAUCGCAUCCUGGGGCUGUAGUCGGUCCCAAGGGUUGGGCUGUUCGCCCAUUAAAGCGGUACGCGAGCUGGGUUCAGAACGUCGUGAGACAGUUCGGUCCCUAUCCGUCGCGGGCGUAGGAAAUUUGAGAGGACCUGUCCUUAGUACGAGAGGACCGGGAUGGACAUACCUCUGGUGUACCAGUUGUGCCGCCAGGCGCAUCGCUGGGUAGCUACGUAUGGAUGUGAUAAACGCUGAAAGCAUCUAAGUGUGAAACACACCUCGAGAUGAGAUUUCCCAUUCCUUUAUGGAAGUAAGACCCCUGAAAGAUGAUCAGGUAGAUAGGUUAGAAGUGGCAGUGCGGUGACGCAUGAAGCGGACUAAUACUAAUCGGUCGAGGACUUAACCAA
rnacentral:rRNA from 1 species